GUCGGUGGCUGCUGGGCGGGCGGGGCGCAGGCCGCGGGACCCGAGCCCGGGGGAGCGAGAGAGCGGAAGCGCCGAGGAUCCGAUUCACUCGCUGGGGAGACCUAUGGGCCGAAGCCGUGUAAAUGCGUUUUAAGCAGGGGCCUCGGCUCCGCAACUGCCACUCCUCCUCGGGGUGUUGCACAAGUUUCGAGGUCACCGGCGACCCCCCCUAGCAGCGCGCCUGGCUCUGGCCCCCGCGAAGGAGGACGGAGCUUGGACCAGGUAGCUGCCUUCUUCGUGGCUGACCUGGGUGCCAUAGUGAGGAAGCACUUUUGCUUUCUGAAGUGCCUGCCACGAGUCCGGCCCUUUUACGCUGUCAAGUGCAACAGCAGCCCAGGUGUGCUGAAGGUUCUGGCCCAGCUGGGGCUGGGCUUUAGCUGUGCCAACAAG
rnacentral:sRNA from 1 species